GAUGAACGCUGGCGGCGUGCCUAAUACAUGCAAGUCGAGCGAACAGACGAGGAGCUUGCUCCUCUGACGUUAGCGGCGGACGGGUGAGUAACACGUGGAUAACCUACCUAUAAGACUGGGAUAACUUCGGGAAACCGGAGCUAAUACCGGAUAAUAUAUUGAACCGCAUGGUUCAAUAGUGAAAGACGGUUUUGCUGUCACUUAUAGAUGGAUCCGCGCCGCAUUAGCUAGUUGGUAAGGUAACGGCUUACCAAGGCGACGAUGCGUAGCCGACCUGAGAGGGUGGUCGGCCACACGGGAACUGGGACACGGUCCAUACGCCUACGGGAGGCAGCAGUAGGGAAUCUUCCGCAAUGGGCGAAAGCCUGACGGAGCAACGCCGCGUGAGUGAUGAAGGUCUUCGGAUCGUAAAACUCUGUUAUUAGGGAAGAACAGAUGUGUAAGUAACUAUGCACGUCUUGACGGUACCUAAUCAGAAAGCCACGGCUAACUACGUG
rnacentral:rRNA from 1 species